ACAGGUGCUCUACUGUAGGUGCCUUCCUUUAAUCAAUUGUGCUAAUAGAAGCGAGAACUAAGCUACUAUCUUUAUCGAAUAUUACCGACCACUCUACGUAUACUCGAUUAACAUUGUUUAUAUCUAUUUUAUAGUAACCUUGCGAAGACUGUCUUUCGUCACGAAUACCGUGUGCAGUUCUAUUUUCAGUAUAGGUACCUACUCCUAUUUAUCGCUUCCCCACUGUACACAUGUUAAAACUAUGUAAUCGUUAAAUAAUAAACUGACCUACGUGAAACGA